rnacentral:rRNA from 1 species
AUGGACGCCUCCGAGUCCGAGUCCUCGCCUCUGCAUGUCGUCAUCUUCCCGUGGCUCGCCAUGGGCCACCUGCUGCCCUGCCUCGAGCUCGCCGAGCGCCUGGCCGCACGGGGCCACCGCGUGUCCUUCGUCUCCACGCCGCGCAACCUCGCCCGCCUCCCGCCGGUCCGUCCCGCGCUGGCGUCGCUCGUCCACCUCGUCGCGCUGCCGCUCCCGCGCGUCGCCGGCCUCCCGGACGGCGCCGAGUCCACCAGCGACGUCCCGCCCGACAAGUUCCACCUCCAUAGGGUGGCGUUCGACGGCCUCGCCGCACCGUUCACGGCCUUCCUCGAUGCCGCUUGCGCCGGCGGCAGGAGGCCCGACUGGGUCGUGGCCGACUUCGUGCACCACUGGGUCGCCGCUGUGGCCCAAGCCCGCAAGGUGCCGUGCGCCAUGCUUCUCCCGUGCGCUGCUGGCGUCGCGGCCUUGUCCGGCCCGCCGCCGGAGUCCCGAGCGGAGGAACAUCAAGCGGUCUCCAGGUCCAUGGACGCAGCGCCGAGGUUCGAGGCUGAGCUGACCACGGAGGAGUUCGCCGCAGAAGACGCCUCGGGGUUGUCCAUCAUGGGCCGCUUCUUUAUGACGUUGAAGAGGUCCAAGCUCGUCGCCCUUCGGAGCAGCCCAGAACUGGAGCCCGACGCGUUCCCGCUCCUGACGAGGCUCUACGGCAAGCCGGCCGUCCCGCUCGGCCUGCUUCCGCCGCCGCCCAACGGAGACCGCAGCGCCAGCGAGAACUCCGAGGACGUUGCGAUCAUUCAGUGGCUCGACGCGCGGCCGGCCAAGUCGGUGGUCUACGUGGCGUUGGGAAGCGAGGCGCCGUUGCGCGCCGAGCUGCUCCGCGAGCUGGCCCACGGGCUGGAGCUCUCCGGAACGCGCUUCCUCUGGGUCCUAAGGAAUCCCGUCAACGGCGACGCGGACACCAUCCUACCAGACGGCUUCAUGGAGCGCACCGCCGAGCGUGGGCUUGUGGCGGUGCGGUGGGUUCCUCAGGUGAGCAUACUGGCGCACGGCGCGGUGGGCGCGUUCUUGACGCACUGCGGGUGGGGUUCGGUCGUGGAGGGGCUCCAGUUCGGGCACCCCCUGAUCAUGCUGCCGCUCGCCGGUGACCAGGGCCCCAACGCGCGGCUCAUGGAGGAGAGGAAGGUCGGGGUGCUGGUGCCGAGAGACGAGAAGGAUGGGUCGUUUACCCGGGACGGCGUCGCCGGAGCUGUUCGGGCCGUUGUUGUGGAGGAGGGGGGAAGGGUGUUCGCGGACAAUGCCAAGAGGCUGCAAGGCAUCGUGGCGAGCGUGGAGUGCAACGAGAGCCGUCAGGUGGUGGAUGCGAUUUCUACAAGUAGCAAGCGUACGCCGACUACCUCGCGUCGCCGUGUCCAGCCGCACCCCCAUUGGCGCAAAUCGAGCCAGGAUAAGAGCAAGGCGGCCAAGCUUUGGGAGUUCAAGAUCUACAGGUGCCACACGCACCACACCACAGGGCAGCAGAACGGCAUGCCGGGGGCACCCAGUUCGUUUCUUCAGUCAGCGCCGCUGCAGGAUACAUGCUCGCCGCGCUUCCAGCUGCUGGGCGCCAGGGAACCAUUGGCGUUGACGCUGCAUCCAUCAAUCUGGUGGUCUCCGAGGCCAACCUUGUCACUUGGGUGCAAAAGUGCUUGGGUGGCAAUCCUUGUGUUGGUUGUGGUCAUGCACGUGCGUGGUUAG